CGGUGUGUCUGGUGGAGAACAUUAAUUUAAAAAAAUCGGUAUCGCUAAGACACCCACCAAGCGAAAGCUAAGGGUCCCCCCUUUCAUUUGAGACUUAAAGGAGAAAGUUCUAUCGGCGGGUCUAGAACAAUUUUUUUUUUUGAAAAAAUAUGAUAUUUUUUUAAUUUUUUUCGAAGAACACAUUUAUGACAAAACACUGUUUUUCCAUUGCAAGCAUGAUUUUCCGACGAUAUAUUUUUUAUAUUAUGUUUAUUAUUCUUCACAUAAAAGCACAAUAGUCCCAUGUGAAUGGGAAAUCCAGUAGAUGACAGUUUUGUGUUUAUGGACAGUGUGGUGAAAGUACUAGAACAGUGAGUAUAAAAUCGAGUUAUAUGCUGUUCCUUUGAAUUCCAAUCUAGAUUCCAAUAAUGUGUUUGCAUCCUAUGACAGAUGCGUAUACGUCUUUAGGGUCUCGUAUUUGACUGGCACCAGCAGGUCACCAAUCGACCACCUUUACAGCAUAUACCGUCAUUUGGUUCUUCAGAUUUGUGCUCUUGAAAUUUCGGGGUGUGACUUCGUCAUAUAUUCUUCUCAAACAGCUUUUUAACUUCAAUGCGCGUCUGGUACUCAAGACACAUGUUUUCUGUCGUCUUCUUCUUCUUCUCCUUCUUGUUCUUCUUCUUCUUCUUCUUCUUCUUCUUCUUGGCGAAACGUCCCUACAGGGACAAAGCAUGCUUCUUAGCUUGUUCUAUGAGCACUGUAGGAGAUGUAAUAAGAAUAAAUGAAAUUGUUUGAUUUGUUUGAAAUUUUCUUAUUUUAUCUCCUACAAGCACUUUCACAGUUUUUAACUAAAAACUUCUUUUGCCAAUUACUAGUUUGCAUGUGUAUAGCGUGUGAUUUGCACGAAAAUACUGCAUGCUCAUUUAAGUCGAGGAAAUUUCCUUCACGAAAAGGUCCUGGACUUACCGGGAAUCGAACCCGUCACCCUCAGCUGUGGCUUUAUGGGCACUUUUCGUUAUCAAAAACAAAUCAUCGGUAAACAAAAUCGGUUUACUGUUCUGGUCACUCGUUGACGCCGGUUUCCAUCUGGAUGGUAGUUCAUGAAUAUUUAAGAGCUUCAUCUGAUCAGCCUGAUCUCUGGGUUUUGCCCGCAAAUAUUCAGCAACCUCAGCAACUUUAUGAGAAGUCUCAAUGAUGUUCAACAAGUUUCAAUGUACUUCAGCUUUAGUGCAAACAAACUGCUUGCCUUUGAUCAUUUUCCUGUAUAUUCGCCACCAUUGAAUGAGAUAAAUUUAAAUGAGCAAGUCCGAACUUUUUUGUGGGGUAGUACUAACUGCUAUCUCUGAUAUCUUUCAGAAAAAAGUUUUCAUAAUAUCAACAACCUGCAAGUAGAAACAAGAACAAGUUGAGACAUUUUCAAUCCGUUCUGAUUAAUAUGUAUGUGCUCAGACAUAUGUACUUUAAUGUCAAACAUGUGUAUAUGUCAAUAAAGCUGUAGAAUUGAAUGAAAAGUUGCUAACUCGUCUAUAAUGCCAUGAUGCUAGCAGAAGAUGUGGAGCGGACCUGGUAUGAUGGUUAGAACACUUGACUAUCACGCCGAGGACCUGGGAUCGAGUCCCACUCCCAACAAACUCGCAAAAUGUGAGUUCUGCCUUCGGAAGGGAAGUGAAGCGUGGGUCCCGAGAUGAGCUAGCCAAGGGCUAAAAAUCUCGUUAAUACAGAUUUAAAAAAAAUAGCAAAAGAUCAAACUAUUGAUAACCGACAGUUUAGCACGUUGUUCUUAUUACAUAUACCGUUAGACAUGUGGCAUUAAUUAUUCUGUUUUUGUCAGUUGAGUAAGGCUACCUGUUCACAAAGAUAUACUGUUACUAAUAUUUUUUAUGUCUAAUUACCCGUUAUUAGACAAUUUUACUAAACAAAUCUAAAACAGUGAAUAUUAACUGCUUUUGAUGUUAAUUGUAGCGGAAAAACACUUCUUCAAACACAAAACGUACUCUUUGGUUUGGUUUUCUUCGUCACUUAGGGGGUUCUUGUCGUAGUUGUUUCUUUAAAAGUAAGGAGCUAUACCUUACUGCAAUAGUCUAAAUUAACUAAAAAUGUUUAAAUCUUAAGUACCAUAAAGGUGCACAAAUUGAACAAAUUUCGGCUUGUGAUAAUUCCAUCCGAGCCACGGCAUACAAGGAUAUAAGACAGACCAUCACAUUGAUAAAAUUGGUGUGGAGUUCUAGAUCGUUUUAUUCAUGCUUUUGAACGAUUUAAAUUACAUCAUCAAAAAACUUUCAGUUUUCCGAAAUGGAUUACCUUCCAAAUGUUGUGCCCCGUUAUCUGAACUACUUUGAUGUAUGUUCUAUUUUUGUAGCCAUUACUCGGCCUACUUUGAUCGUAAAACUGUUAAAUCAUAAGAAACUGUCAAUAAAAAAUAAGAAAAUUGCAGCCGCAAUAACUACUUCCACAUAAAAAGCGAAGUUUAUUUGUAUAUAUGCCCAGAUACUGCUGAAAUUCUAUUCAACUGCCUUAAUUUUUUUGCACUUUAUGUCUAAGCAAUAUUUUGUAAGGAAAAUUUUUAAUUUUUGAUUUGACCCGUUUACUCUUUUGAAAGGACACGUUAGUAAUGGGCGACCUCAUACAAGCCCAUUUGGCUACACUCAAGGUUGAAAAAAGAAAAAAACACAAGCCUCAAAGAUAGUAAUAUUUGAAAAAAAAAAAUUGUUCUAGACCCGCCGAUAGAACUUUCUCCUUUUAGUCUCAAAUGAAAGAGGGGACCUUCAGCUUUCGUUUGGUGGGUGUUUUAGCGAUACCGAUUUUUUUAAAUUAAUUUUGUUCUAUCAGACACACCGUGUCCCAUUUCGAUAUUAACGGACCGACGAAAACAGAACGACGGCAAAGCUGCCAACAAAGAAGGCAGAGACACUUCAUCUGUCCAGCGGAUCACCUGCUGUUUCAUCCCCUACUAUUGCCAGUGCCACAGCAGGAGUAUUGCUUUUUGUAAUCAAUUCAUCCGGAUCCAAGUCGGAAGAGCGGAAGUCUUCCACAGUCCUCACAGUUCUCCUGUUUCCAGCAAGAAGGCUUUCGAGCAAAACGAGCUCCUCGCAGUAUUCUACCUCAUACGUUGCCGCAGCAUGCCACGACAUCCAUCCCAUGCCGCUCGGCUCUUGGCAGUUUCGACGUAUCCAGGCCCAUGCCAUCAACCUGGAACCGGCACACAGGUCCUUGAAAACCUCGCCCCUUUCGAUGGAUUUUUAGAUCAAUUCAUCGGUGUCUUCCUCACGAGGGUCAUCUACCUACCACAGGAAGCCUCAAAUGACCCACAGAAAUGCAACGCGUUGCGGUUAUGCAACCAAAGGAAAUAUUUUGAUAUCGGAAAUUCCGCAACCGCUCCAGAUUCCAAACUUUCCUGAAUGUCUCGUGUUUAAUUUCGUGUAGGAAUAAUCUCCCAGAAGGAUUUCAAGCAUUAUAGCCUGAUAUGGACCGGGCAAUAUUCUCAAGCCUUCUUGUUAUAUUGUCCUCAGCUUCCAACGGCAUAAAUAUUGUGAAUUCCUAUGGAGGUGAAAUCACUAGAAGAACUAUCCAGGAACCAUAUUACGUUUUUGCCCAUAUUAUCCGAGCUCACGGGAGGGGAAAACACAAAAUUCCUCCUGCAGAAAGGCUUCAGCGGCCAGUUAAAAGUUUCGGGGGAUUCGGAUGGAAGUGGAACCACCGUGGAUUUCGACGAUGCUACAACGAAAACUGCUCUGCCUUUCCUGGAAGUGAUACCACCACCAGCAGUGAGCAGCGUCAAUCCGGAAGUGUUCGUGGAUGGAGCAGCAGCUCCAUGUUCCGGCAGAUCACCUCCGAACGGCUACGGAAGCUGCAUGAGUGCACGGAAAGGCUACCAGGUGGAAAACGUGGAUGACCGGUUGAAGACGAUGCCUAUCGAUGAGUGUAGCUGCCAUCGGGUUUGAAAAUGGUUCAACUGUAGUUCUCAUAUAGGACACAAGCCACACACCGGGCUGCGGAAGAGGAGAUGCUCCAGGAAGAUUUGCUGUGAAAGUAGUUUAACGAUGCUGAAGAGUAAAAAAAAAACGGUGAAGAAAACCAGGGCGUGAUCGAAAGAUACCAGUUUUGUUUUUUAAUA